UGUCAGAGCACUAAGGCACCAAAUAACCCUCUAUCCACUUUUCUCUGGUUUUUCUGCAGGUAUAUGAAGAGGAACCUUGUAAGGAGGACUGGAAUCUAUAUAUAAAGAACUCAUCUGGGAAAAUAGGCUUUCACAGCUGUAGAGCAGCCAAUGGAGCAAUAUUUGCGGAUGAUAAGAGCAGCCAGAGCAGGGCUGGAAAUGAAGAAACUAAUGGUGUGAUGUGAUGCUGACCAGAGACAUGAGCAAUUCGGUGAUACACAGCUGCUCUGAAGAAAUCAUCAGGAAAGCUCAAGGAUUCGGUGAACAAAGAUCUGGCCUUCGGUUUUGUCCAGCAUCUCUCAACGGUAUUGAUGAGUGCAUGUGAAGUUUCAGCACAUGUGGUUUCUCACAGAGAAGCUCUUCCUUUCGAAUUACAAUCACAGACUCAACACUGACACCUGUAUGAACUGCACAGCAUCCGUUUGACGUCGAAGCUUCAUCAGGCCAAGUUUUGUUUCUACCACUGUAGGAAUAUUAAAACAAACACCUAGAACUAGUUAUUUUUGGCUGGUUGCUGGAAUCUUUCGGUGUAAAUUCAGAGUAAUAACAUCUAUAUGACUGAUGUGUUGUAUAAAAGCGCUCUGUGUCCAGCAUGAUAUAAGAUAUAGGUGAAGGGUGACUAUUGCUAUCAUGCUCAUAAAUCCUUGCGGCACAUUUGCUCAAUUCGGCCCCACAGUUCGGCAUCUGUAAAGCAGUAGGCUUUGAUGUAUUUAGAUGUAUUAAAUUAUUCCCCAGUCCUACAUAAUGGGGUGCUGUUCUUGUUUAAUGGGCCUCAGAAAAUUCAUAAGGUAAUUACUGUGAGUGAUUGGAUUAGGUUAAAGCACAAAUGUGACUUUGUACUAGCAAAUGCUAGUCUAAGGGAAAGUGUCUGGCUUUUUUGGGGGGUCAGGUUUAUGGGAAAUGAUUUACAUAAAAUAAUCAAGGGUUGGCUACAAAAACAGUUCCGUUUUUUUAAUAGAGACAAAUGCACACUUCUCACUUCAUCGGUUUUGUAUCAUAUUUGAACCAGUGAGCUUUUAAGGGAUAAAUUGCAAUGAAAGGAAGGAUUUAUCCUGUUUGUCUGAGAGAUUUGAUUCUGGUGGCACAAAGACCACAGCCUUUGAUCCAAUUACAAUGUAUGUAUAUCCCGGGUCAUUUCCUGUCCCGCAGUCAUAGCUGGAGGUAGCGGCUUGCCAUCACGACUAUGUCGAAUUAUUGAGUUUUUUGCCCUUAAGCCACUCUUUCUUUCCACAUCAGUGACUGUGUGUGUACAUCUGUGUGCUUGUGUAACCGUUCGGCCUGGGCUAAUGUUUCAGAGGGUCACCAGCUGUGUUUCAAACAUCUGUUCCUCAUAGAAGCAGCCAUGGAUCCCAUUUCCUCGAUCCCUGUCGUGUUUUGAAAGAGAGAUUAAGCUUUGUGCCGUCUACUGAGGGUCUCCUCCUCUCUUUGACUCAUCUUCACCGCCUACUUAGCUGCAAAUCAAACGAAACUGUCUGAGCCAUUGGCUGACGUUGAUGGACAGGGGUUUGAGAGGUGCAGUGUUUUUCAUUAGACACGCAAUUGCAAACCUCCUUCCAUGGAAUGAGUCUAUCCCCCAGAGCUGCGAGCACAACUAAUUUAUUCUGAUAAAUAUACACAAUGUCCCUUCCUUUAAUUGGAAUUUAGAUACAAGAAUCCAUUAAUUGUACAAAUGGUGUAAAUUGCUUUUAUUGGUAAAGGUCUAAAUUUAAAGCAAAUCCUGUCUUAAAACCACACGUUUGAAUCCAAAAUAUCUGCCAGAACAAUUACAGUCUUGAUAUGUAAAUUCUUGAUUCAUUUCAAACAAAUCUGUCUGUUUUGAGUUCUCCACGCGUCUGACUAAUGAGCUAGUUGAGAAAUGUGACUUCAACCUCUUAUAGAAGCAGCUGUGGAGUCUAUUACCAUAAAUAAUGUUUAAACAUAUGUUUUACAGAUCUGUGUUUUAGAAAACCUCUAGAUCAUUCUUUAUUUGAUUCAAUGUAUAUUCCCCUACAUCUUGGUGAAAUGUCAGUCUUUUACUUGUAUGCAUCUAGAAAAUAUAGAUUUGUCUAUAAAGUAAACUAUU
ensembl:lncRNA